GAUGAAGAACGUAGCAAAAUGCGAUAAGUAGUGUGAAUUGCAGAAUUCAGUGAAUCAUCGAAUCUUUGAACGCACAUUGCGCCCCCUGGCAUUCCGGGGGGCAUGCCUGUCCGAGCGUCAUUUCUGCCCUCCAGCCCGGCUGGGUGUUGGGCGCUGUCCCCCCGGGGACACGCCCCAAAGGCAGUGGCGGCGCCGCGUCGGGUCCUCGAGCGUAUGGGGCUUUGUCACCCGCUCGGGACGGACUCGUCGGCGCUGGUCUUCCUCCAGGCGACCCUUCGGGGCUCGUCUUCCUUCGGUUGACCUCGGAUCAGGUAGGGUUACCCGCUGAACUUAAGCAUAUCAAUAAGCGGAGGA
rnacentral:misc_RNA from 1 species